rnacentral:rRNA from 1 species
CCUACGGGCGGCAGCAGUGGGGAAUAUUGCACAAUGGGGGAAACCCUGAUGCAGCGACGCCGCGUGAGCGAAGAAGUAUUUCGGUAUGUAAAGCUCUAUCAGCAGGAACGAGACAAGACGGUACCUGACGAAGAAGCCCCGGCUAACUACGUGCCAGCAGCCGCGGUAAUACGGAGGGGGCGAGCGUGAUCCGGAUCCACUGGGUGUAAAGGGAGCGGAGACGGCCGUGCAAGCCAGGAGUGAAAGCCCGGGGCCCAACCCCGGGACUGCUCUUGGAACUGUGCGGCUAGAGUGCGGGUGGGGCAGGCUGAAUUCCUGGUGUAGCGGUGAAAUGCGUAGAUAUCAGGAGGAACACCGGCGGCGAAGGCGGCCUGCUGGACCGCGACUGACGUUGAUGCUCGAACGCGUGGGGAGCGAACAGGAUUAGAUACCCCGGUAGUC